rnacentral:rRNA from 1 species
UUCUUAAAAAUUAAAAAAUUUGGCGGUAUUUUAGUCUUUUCAGAGGAACCUGUUCUAUAAUUGAUAAUCCACGAUUAAUUGUACUUAUUUUAUAAAUUUAUAUAUCGUCGUAGUUUGAAUAUUUUAAAAAUUAAUAUUAUCAGAUCAAGGUGUAGUUUAUAAAUAAGAAGAAAUGGGUUACAUUUAAAAUUUUGAAAUUGGAUUUGAAAGUAAGCUCUAAAAUAUGUACAUAUUGCCCGUCGCUUUCAUUUUAAAAUGAGAUAAGUCGUAACAAAGUAGAUUUACUGGAAAGUGAAUCUAGAACAAAUUAGAGCUUGUAAAGUAUUUUAUUUACAUUAAAAUGAAAAUUAUUAAUUUAAUUUAAUUUGAAAUAAAUAAAUUAUUUAUUUAAAUUAAUUUUUUGUUUUAAUAAAAAUAUUUUUUGGUUUAAUUAUAUCUAAGAAAGAAUUUUAUUAUAGUUAAAAGUAUUGAGAAAGAAAUUUUAUAAAUAAUUUAAAGAAAAAUUUGAUAUUUGUACCUUGUGUAUCAGGGUUGAUUUAUUAAAUGUUCUCGAAUUUAAAAGAGCUAAUUUUAUUGUAAAAUAAAUAUUUAUAAUAAAAAAUUAGAAAUGAAACGUUAAUCGUUUUUAAAUAUAUCUAGUUUUUAAAGAAAUUAAUUUAAUUUAUUUAUUAUUAAUUAAUUAAUUUAGGGAUAAGCUUAGUAAAAAAAUUUUAAAAUUUAUUAUAUUUUAAAAAUUUAUAGGAUUAAAAAUUUUUAUUAAUAAAAAAUUGUUAUAAUUGAUUUAUUUAAGUUUUAUAUUUAAAUUAAAGUUAUAAUUUAUAAUAUUUAGUAAUAAUGAUUAAAUUAGUAAAGUUUAAUUGAGGAAUUCGGCAAUUUAAAUUUUCACCUGUUUAAUAAAAACAUGUCCUUUUGAUUAUAAUUUAAGGUCUAAUCUGCCCACUGAUUAAAUGGCCGCGGUAUUUUGACCGUGCAAAGGUAGCAUAAUCAUUAGUUUCUUAAUUAGAAGCUAGAAUGAAUGAUUGGAUGAGAAAAUUUCUGUCUUUAGAAUUUUAUUUUUAAGUUAAAAAGCUUAAAUUUUUUUAAAAGACGAGAAGACCCUAUAGAGUUUUUUAAUUGGGGUGAUUAAAAAAUUAAAUUAACUUUUUUUUUUUAUGAAUAAUUGAUCCAUGAUUAUAAGAAUAAAUUACCUUAGGGAU